rnacentral:rRNA from 1 species
AGAUUUCCAUAGAGGGACGUAGGAGACUACUACGUUGAUAGGCCGUAGAUGUAAAGGCAGUAAUGUCAAAGUCGAACGGUACUAAUAUCCCGAACACUUCGCUUG